CAUCGUAGCCUUCCUCUUCAUCAGGGUCAGCACUCACAUACAACCAGUUAGCACAAUCAACAAUACUUACUCUAUUAGGGUUAGGUGAUGCAAUUAUAAACCUUUUAUGGAUCAUUACAGAGUAAUAAUUAUGAGCAAUAGAAAUCAUACCUUGUUGAAUGAGAGCUGACAUAUCAAUUUUUGUCUUACCUGCUACAAGGGUCUCCUCAAGCAGGACCACAUGAUAACCAAAAUGUUCAGCAAUCUGGGUAAUCAUUC
rnacentral:lncRNA from 1 species